GACGAACGCUGGCGGCGUGCCUAACACAUGCAAGUCGAACGGAAAGGCUCCAGCUUGCUGGAGUACUCGAGUGGCGAACGGGUGAGUAACACGUGGGUAAUCUGCCCUGCACUCUGGGAUAAGCCUGGGAAACUGGGUCUAAUACUGGAUAUGACCUUUCUCCUUAUGGGGUUUGGUGGAAAGUUUUUCGGUGUAGGAUGAGCCCGCGGCCUAUCAGCUUGUUGGUGGGGUGAUGGCCUACCAAGGCGACGACGGGUAGCCGGCCUGAGAGGGUGAUCGGCCACAUUGGGACUGAGAUACGGCCCAGACUCCUACGGGAGGCAGCAGUGGGGAAUAUUGCACAAUGGGCGGAAGCCUGAUGCAGCGACGCCGCGUGAGGGAUGACGGCCUUCGGGUUGUAAACCUCUUUCAGCAGGGACGAAGCGUAAGUGACGGUACCUGCAGAAGAAGCACCGGCUAACUAUGUG
rnacentral:rRNA from 1 species